rnacentral:misc_RNA from 1 species
GUAGUGAGGGCUUGACCGAUUGGAUAGUCCUUGUCUCUUAGCCGCACCUCCAAGUUGGCACCAUAUGCAGUAUCACCUUGAGCACGGAUAGCACCGGUGGUUGCCACAAGACCGACCCUCUUCCCAAUCGAAAGUUGAUCCUCAAUCUUCAUUCCAGUUGCUACAGUUUCACCCAAGAAAGUCACAGAUAUUCCAGCAGCAGUUUUGUUCUUCUUGAAAUUCUUAAAUUUG